rnacentral:rRNA from 1 species
AUUGAACGCUGGCGGCAGGCCUAACACAUGCCAGUCGAGCGGAUGAAGGGAGCUUGCUCCUGGAUUCAGCGGCGGACGGGUGAGUAAUGCCUAGGAAUCUGCCUGGUAGUGGGGGAUAACGUCCGGAAACGGGCGCUAUUACCGCAUACGUCCUGAGGGAGAAAGUGGGGGAUCUUCGGACCUCACGCUAUCAGAUGAGCCUAGGUCGGAUUAGCUAGUUGGUGGGGUAAAGGCCUACCAAGGCGACGAUCCGUAACUGGUCUGAGAGGAUGAUCAGUCACACUGGAACUGAGACACGGUCCAGACUCCUACGGGAGGCAGCAGUGGGGAAUAUUGGACAAUGGGCGAAAGCCUGAUCCAGCCAUGCCGCGUGUGUGAAGAAGGUCUUCGGAUUGUAAAGCACUUUAAGUUGGGAGGAAGGGCAGUAAGUUAAUACCUUGCUGUUUUGACGUUACCAACAGAAUAAGCACCGGCUAACUUCGUG